rnacentral:rRNA from 1 species
AUUGAACGCUGGCGGCAGGCCUAACACAUGCAAGUCGAGCGGAGCGGCGGACGGGUGAGAAAUGCGUAGGAAUCUGCCCGGUAGUGGGGGAUAAAGUCCGGAAACGGGCGCUAAUACACCAUACUACCAGAUGAGUCUAGGUGGGGGUAUCUAUUUGGUGGGGUAAAGGCCUACCAAGGCGACGAUCCGUAACUGGUCUGAGAGGAUGAUCAGUCACACUGGAACUGAGACACGGUCCAGACUCCUACGGGAGGCAGCAGUGGGGAAUAUUGGACAAUGGGCGAAAGCCUGAUCCAGCCAUGCCGCGUGUGUGAAGAAGGUCUUCGGAUUGUAAAGCACUUUAAGUUGGGAGGCGUUACCAACAGAAUAAGCACCGGCUAACUUCGUGCCAGCAGCCGCGGUAAUAC